rnacentral:rRNA from 1 species
CGAUGCGUAGGGGUUCUGAGAGGAAGGCCCCCCACACUGGUACUGAGACACGGACCAGACUCCUACGGGAGGCAGCAGUGAGGAAUAUUGGUCAAUGGGCGGGAGCCUGAACCAGCCAAGUCGCGUGAGGGAAGAAGGUACUGAGUAUUGUAAACCUCUUUUGCCAGGGGACAAAGGCGGCCACGGGUGGCCGUAAGAGGGUACCUGGAGAAAAAGCAUCGGCUAACUCCGUGCCAGCAGCCGCGGUAAUACGGAGGAUGCGAGCGUUAUCCGGAUUUAUUGGGUUUAAAGGGUGCGCAGGCGGCGUGUCAAGUCAGCGGUAAAAUGUCGGGGCUCAACCCCGGCCGGCCGUUGAAACUGGCGUGCUCGAGUUGGAGAGAAGUAUGCGGAAUUCGUGGUGUAGCGGUGAAAUGCAUAGAUAUCACGAAGAACCCCGAUUGCGAAGGCAGCAUACCGGCUCCACACUGACGCUGAGGCACGAAAGCGUGGGUAUCGAACAGGAUUAGAUACCCUGGUAGUCCACGCAGUAAACGAUGAAUG